CUUUUUCUUUCACCGGAGCUUGCUCCACCGAAAGAAAAGGAGUGGCGAACGGGUGAGUAACACGUGGGUAACCUGCCCAUCAGAAGGGGAUAACACUUGGAAACAGGUGCUAAUACCGUAUAACAGUAGAAACCGCAUGGUUUCUAUUUGAAAGGCGCUUUUGCGUCACUGAUGGAUGGACCCGCGGUGCAUUAGCUAGUUGGUGAGGUAACGGCUCACCAAGGCAACGAUGCAUAGCCGACCUGAGAGGGUGAUCGGCCACAUUGGGACUGAGACACGGCCCAAACUCCUACGGGAGGCAGCAGUAGGGAAUCUUCGGCAAUGGACGAAAGUCUGACCGAGCAACGCCGCGUGAGUGAAGAAGGUUUUCGGAUCGUAAAACUCUGUUGUUAGAGAAGAACAAGGAUGAGAGUAAAACGU
rnacentral:rRNA from 1 species